rnacentral:rRNA from 1 species
ACGCGCUAAACUUAAACAUAUCAGUCGGCGCACGCAAUAGAAACUAACCAGGAUUCCCUUAGUAACGGCGAGUGAAGUGGAGAUAUAUAAGUUCAGCCCAACGAUAAAAUCUAUGGUUAGCUGGCUAGGCUUCUGUCUUCCAGCUGCCAGGAAUUGUAGCAUCGUAAUACUUAAAACACACACACUAUGUUUUAAAAUAUAAAAUCAAUGUUGUAUCUGACUCAACGUAUGAUAUCAUUGCAAUCUAUACAUUCUUACCUAAACACACAGCGUUUAGCGUGGAAAGCAAGUCUAUAUCAUGCCAUAGAGUGUGACAGCCACGUUUACCUUGGUAAACUCUCAUUAGACACGCAAUUUUUGAUUACAAGAUACGUAAAUCAUUCGAUUUAAAAACAAACACACCUUAACCCUGAGUCGAGUUGUUUGGGACUACAGCUCAAAUUGUUUGGUGGUGGUAAUGACACAUCAAAGGCUAAAUAUUGGUGUUUUAUACGAUUGCAACGGAGACCGAUAGCAAACAAGUACCGUAAGGGAACGAUGAAAAGCACCCUUUUUAGCACGUGCGUCACUCUGUGUACGCACAAGCUCCAUCGGGAGUGAAAGAGAGAGUGAAAUCGCCUGAACUUUUUUAAAUCAACACACACUGAUUUUUAAUAAAUUCAGCGAAGUACAAUCGGACAGAGUGUCUUUGGCUCUUUUUUGAGCGUGGCGGGCUGCUAUGUGUCGACUCACAUUGCAUGCUUUGCUUUCAUUCAAGACAUAACUAUUCGACCCGUUUUGAAACACGGACCAAGGAGUUCAACUGGAAUGCGAGUCGUAGAGUUAUCAAACUCUUUCGGCGAAGCGAAAGCAAAUUUUGCGCGAAUCUUUUAGAUGCAGCGCGGGCUGAUAAUGUAUGCUACGUAGAGCUUGCUGUGCGUGCACCUGCUAACUUCUGUUGGCAGGACUUAUCAAGCUAAAGAGCAAUUUAGUUGAGACCCGAAAGAUCGGUGAACUAUGCUCGGACAUGGUGAAGCCAGGUGAAAACUUGGUGGAAGCUUGCGUUGUGCGGAACUGACGUGCAAAUCGUUACCGCCUGACCUGAGUAUAGGGGCGAAAGACUCAUCGAACCAUCUAGUAGCUGGUUCCCUCCGAAGUUUCCCUCAGGAUAGCUCGAUAAUAUAACCGAGUAACACAAGGUAAAGGCAAUGAGACGCGGUAUCUGUGGGUCUUAUUUUAAUGACCUCGGCCUUCUCUCAAACUUUAAAUCUGUGCGAAAACAUAUUGUUUACUUAAAAGCAUUUUUAAUGCGUGAAACUAUGUUUCAUAUCUAACAAUUCGUAGUGGGCCAUUUCUGGUAAGCAGAACUGGCGAUGAGGGAUUCAACCUGACGUUUUCAAGAUAAGCCGGGCUUAAUCAUAUCUGCUCCAACCUUCCGAUAAACGCGAAAGGGUGUUCCGUGUGGUGCAGACAGCAGGACGGUGGCCAUGGAAGUUGGAAUCCGCUAAGGAGUGCGUAAC